rfam:Triticum aestivum genome assembly, contig: Triticum_aestivum_CS42_TGACv1_scaffold_602731_7DL
AAAAUACUACCUCCAUCCAAAAUUACUUGUCGCUCAAAUGGAUGUAUCUAGACGUAUUUUAAUACUAGAUACACCCAUUUGAACGACAAGUAAUUCUGGAGGGAGGGAGUAUAAG